GAGCCGGUAGCUCAGCCUGGUAGAGCACCUGACUUUUAAUCAGGUGGUCGCGAGUUCAAAUCUCGUCCGGCUCGCCA
rnacentral:tRNA from 1 species